rnacentral:rRNA from 1 species
AAAACAUCGCCUCUUGUAACCCAUAAGAGGUCCAGCUUGCCCAGUGACUCUGUUCAACGGCCGCGGUAUCCUAACCGUGCAAAGGUAGCACAAGUAAUUGUCUUUUAAAUGUAGAAGUGAAUGAAAGGCACCACGAGGAUUAAACUGUCUCCUUUCCCUAAUCAAUGAAACUAAUCUUCUCGUGAAAAAGCGAGAAUAACCCCAUAAGACGAAAAGACCCUGUGGAGCUUUAAACAACUUACACCUGCCCACCCCAUCCUUCUACUAAGGCACCCUGAUUUCAAGUUUUUGGUUGGGGCGACCACGGAGCACAAUAUACCCCCCGCGUUGAGCACAACCCAUAAAUAAAAAGCUACAACUUUAUAAAUCAAUAAAUUGACAUAAUUGACCCAAUAUUUUGAUCAACGAACUCAGUUACCCCAGGGAUAACAGCGCCAUCUGCUUCAAGAGCACACAUCGACAAGCAGGCUUACGACCUCGAUGUUGGAUCCGGAUAACCUAGUGGAGUAACUUCUACUAAAGGUUCGUUUGUUCACCGAUUAAAACCCG